UUUUUUUUUUUUUUUUUUUGUGUGGAGGGAGUUAAAUUUUGCCCAUAAACUUAAUUUUGACCUUGAGAUGUAAGACUAUUCCUACUUGUGGAAACCUUAUAUUUUGUAAUAAUCUUCUUUUUGUCUUACUUAAAUUUCUUUACCCUCAAGGUAAAUGAUGUAUAACUGCAGUGCACAUGUAUUUUUCUCUGUGUUUGUGUUCUAUUUAUUUAUUUAUUUGUUCAGAUUGGAAGAGGAUGAUGAGAAUUAAACAUUAGACCUUUGUAUUUCACACAUGCGGUUCAGCUUUUGGCUACCCAAACGAGCACGUGCAACAAAGUCUUAUAAAAUUCUUCAUGAUUUCCUAGCAGCAUAUAAUUAACACACGAAUAAAAUCUUGGCCACUAAAACUAUGAAUUGCCUCCACAAAUAUAGUACUCUCUCCAUCCUCUUAAAUCUUCAUCCUCAUAAAUGUAUUUUAUUUAUCAUUUUCUUCCCUUCAAUCUAUUUUUGAUAAAUUUUUCACUCACAAUAAAGUAAGACUCUUACUCUACUCACAACACAUUCAACUACUUUAUUAAAAUUCGUGUUAUUUAAUAAUGAAUAUUUUUUAUAAGGACGGAGGGAGAAAAAUAUUUUUUUUUAAAAAGUAGGACAUAAGAUAUUAUCUACUACUCUCUCUGUUCCAUAGGAGAAUACAUGAUUAUUGGUGGCACGAAUUUUAAUAAAUACUUGAUCCGUCCAUGAUAAGUGUGGCAUAGAUGGGAGGGCACGGAUUUUAAGAGAUAGUGAGAGAUGUGUAUAAAGUAGAUAAAUGAUCCCACCAAAAUUGAAUUAUUAGUUAAUUAAUAAAUGGUAUGUGAGAUUGACAUUUUGUAAAUAUUGUGUGUGGAUGAGGUAAAAGUAUAAAGGUAUAUGUCCUAAAAUGAAAAGACCACAUUUAUUAUGGACGGACAAAAAUGACAAAAAGAUAACACUUAUCAUAAACAAGGGGAGUAUAUUAGAUAAGUGUGUUGUGAAUGAAAGAAAGAAUCCACUUGUAUUAUAAUGUUAUAAUAGUGAGAUAAAAUAGUAAGAGAUUUAUAAUGAGUAAUGUGUAAUAAAAUUGUAAAUAAGUUCAUAAAGUAAGAAUAAAAAAUAAAGAAUUUAUAAAGAGAUAAUGUCUAAAACUAGUAAUGCAUUGCAUACUCUUGUGGACCCUUUCAAAAUGGAAAGAAACCCAGGGAAAAGUUAAGACAAGGACAAUAUGUUGAAUUUUUCAAAUAGCAUAACGGCGCGUGUACCGGAAAGCGAGCACAUGCAUAUGAUUGUGCUUGACGCCCAAGAUUUGUGGAGUUCAUAUAUAUAUAUAUAUAUAUUUUUUUUUGUAGUACGUUUGUGGAGUUCAUAUUGAGUGUUGUAAAAGAAUAUUAUUGCUAUUAUUUCAACUUUCACAUGCCUUCGGGGAAAGACAGACAUUCAGACUAUUUAUAAACCUUAUGUAAAUUUUGGGUGGACUUUUCUAUCGAUCAGAGUUAACAAGUUAUGUAUUUUUAUAUAUUUUAUUUGAGUGGAUUUUGAAAAUAG
rnacentral:lncRNA from 1 species